AUCAUUCUUAGCUACGGGGAGGGCUAUGAUAGAUGUGCCCAAUGGAAGCGUAGUAUUUCACGCAGCUGAUGCGCAUGAGUCCUCUACCUCUGUUCGUGUUAGGCGGUCUGUCACGCCUGCUGCGUUUGAUGUUCAUUGAGGCUAUGAGGUAUCGUCGAGCUCUAGACGUUAAAUUAAGCACUUGUUGGGAGGUAACCCAACUGUUUUUCUUUGUUUUGUUUUUCUUUCUUUUAGUUUCGUUUUGUUUCGUUGUUUUGUUUGGGAGUUUAGUGCAGUGUUGAGCUUGGAAGAUGCGGGAACUCGCGCUUGGUUCAUACCACCACCAUGGAGCAUGUAUUUCUGUGAGUAGUGACACACAUAUCAUCAUCCCUCCAAACUUAUUUUCGAACUUAUGUUCUGUAAUAAGUUUGGGGGAGGGGGGUGAGAGUAGAUAUGUGUAUCACUUUUAUCUUUUUGUUAGCUUUAUUGUUUUAUCCUACUUGGUUGGUGGUGUGUGAUUGUUUUUUUUUUUGAGAUGAUUAUUGCUCCAUUAGAUUUCUGGUGAGAUGCCAAUGAUGAUUUCUGUGAAAAAAAAAAUUUUGGAGUUUGAUUUUCUUUGAUGAUUUAAGUAUAACUGGAACUAAUUUGCAUAAUUCUAGAGUGAUUUUAACCUUGACUUUUGGACGUUGAAUAAACCUGUGAGAUUUUGAGCCAUAACUGUUUAUCAUACACAGUUUAUUCUUUGUUGUGAGUUUUGUCAUGCAUAUGUGGUGAUCUUCUAGAACUUGCCAUGGUUUCUGUGUCGAGGUUGCUGUUGUGCCCAGGAUUAGGAGAUGAUUUUAGGCCAUCUUUUGUUAGCCACAUUAUUUUCCCAAACACUGUCCUUAUUGAAAAAAAUUAUCCUUUGUUAUCCACUUUGAGCCUAUUUAGCUUUUAUUCUUUAGCCGGAUGAUAGGGGUGAUGUAGUAUAUGGG
rnacentral:lncRNA from 1 species